ACGUAGGGUGCGAGCGUUAAUCGGAAUUACUGGGCGUAAAGCGUGCGCAGGCGGUGAUGUAAGACAGUUGUGAAAUCCCCGGGCUCAACCUGGGAAUUGCAUCUGUGACUGCAUCGCUAGAGUACGGUAGAGGGGGAUGGAAUUCCGCGUGUAGCAGUGAAAUGCGUAGAUAUGCGGAGGAACACCGAUGGCGAAGGCAAUCCCCUGGACCUGUACUGACGCUCAUGCACGAAAGCGUGGGGAGCAAACAG
rnacentral:rRNA from 1 species